GAACCGGAUGGAGUGCUUGCAUUCCUGAGGUUAGCGGCGGACGGGUGAGUAACACGUAGGCAACCUGCCUGUACGACCGGGAUAACUCCGGGAAACCGGAGCUAAUACCGGAUAGGAUGCCGAACCGCAUGGUUCGGCAUGGAAAGGCCUUUGAGCCGCGUACAGAUGGGCCUGCGGCGCAUUACCUAGUUGGUGGGGUAACGGCCUACCAAGGCGACGAUGCGUAGCCGACCUGAGAGGGUGAACGGCCACACUGGGACUGAGACACGGCCCAGACUCCUACGGGAGGCAGCAGUAGGGAAUCUUCCGCAAUGGACGAAAGUCUGACGGAGCAACGCCGCGUGAGUGAGGAAGGUCUUCGGAUCGUAAAACUCUGUUGUCAGGGAAGAACCGCCGGGAUGACCUCCCGGUCUGACGGUACCUGACGAGAAAGCCCCGGCUAACUACGUGCCAGCAGCCGCGGUAAUACGUAGGGGGCAAGCGUUGUCCGGAAUUAUUGGGCGUAAAGCGCGCGCAGGCGGCUUCUUAAGUCAGGUGUGAAAGCCCACGGCUCAACCGUGGAGGGCCAUCUGAAACUGGGGAGCUUGAGUGCAGGAGAGGAGAGCGGAAUUCCACGUGUAGCGGUGAAAUGCGUAGAGAUGUGGAGGAACACCAGUGGCGAAGGCGGCUCUCUGGCCUGUAACUGACGCUGAGGCGCGAAAGCGUGGGGAGCAAACAGGAUUAGAUACCCUGGUAGUCCACGCCGUAAACGAUGAGUGCUAGGUGUUGGGGAGUCCACCUCCUCAGUGCCGCACCUAACGCAAUAAGCACUCCUCCUGGGGAGUACGGGCCGCAAGGCUGAAACUCAAGGAAUUGACGGGGACCCGCACAAGCGGUGGAGCAUGUGGUUAAUUCGAAUGCACGCGAAGAACCUUACCAAGGCUUGACAUCCCGCUGACCCUCCAAGAUGAGGUUCCUUCCGG
rnacentral:rRNA from 1 species